rnacentral:rRNA from 1 species
AUUGAACGCUGGCGGCGUGCCUAACACAUGCAAGUCGAGCGGUAACAGGUGUAGCAAUACAUGCUGACGAGCGGCGAACGGGUGAGCAAUGCUUUGGAAUCUGCCUGAUAGUGGGGAAUAACCAGCCGAAAGGUUGGCUAAUACCGCAUACGCCCCCUUUUCUUAUGGAAGAGGGGGGAAAGCGGGGGAUCGCAAGACCUCGCGCUAACAGAUGAGCCAAAGUCGGAUUAGCUAGUUGGUGAGGUAACGGCUCACCAAGGCGACAAUCCGUAGCUGGUCUGAGAGGACGACCAGCCACACUGGGACUGAGACACGGCCCAGACUCCUACGGGAGGCAGCAGUGGGGAAUAUUGGACAAUGGGGGAAACCCUGAUCCAGCGACGCCGCGUGUGUGAAGAAGGCCUGCGGGUUGUAAAGCACUUUUAGUGGAGAUGAAAAGCUCAGGGCUAACACUCCUGGGUCUUGACCUAACCCAAAGAAAAAGCACCGGCUAACUCUGUGCCAGCAGCCGCAGUAA